UACAGAGGUGGCAAGCGUUGUUCGGAAUUACUGGGCGUAAAGGGCGCGUAGGCGGCCUACUAAGUCAGGCGUGAAAUCCCCGGCUUAACCUGGGAACUGCGUCUGAUACUGGAAGGCUUGAGGAUGGGAGAGGGAUGUAGAAUUCCAGGUGUAGCGGUGAAAUGCGUAGAUAUCUGGAGGAAUACCGGUGGCGAAGGCGGCAUCCUG
rnacentral:rRNA from 1 species